GAGUUUGAUCCUGGCUCAGAGUGAACGCUGGCGGCGUGCCUAAUACAUGCAAGUCGAACGAUGAAGCUUCUAGCUUGCUAGAAGUGGAUUAGUGGCGCACGGGUGAGUAACGCAUAGGUUAUGUGCCUCUUAGUUUGGGAUAGCCAUUGGAAACGAUGAUUAAUACCAGAUACUCCCUACGGGGGAAAGAUUUAUCGCUAAGAGAUCAGCCUAUGUCCUAUCAGCUUGUUGGUAAGGUAAUGGCUUACCAAGGCUAUGACGGGUAUCCGGCCUGAGAGGGUGAACGGACACACUGGAACUGAGACACGGUCCAGACUCCUACGGGAGGCAGCAGUAGGGAAUAUUGCUCAAUGGGGGAAACCCUGAAGCAGCAACGCCGCGUGGAGGAUGAAGGUUUUAGGAUUGUAAACUCCUUUUGUUAGAGAAGAUAAUGACGGUAUCUAACGAAUAAGCACCGGCUAACUCCGUGCCAGCAGCCGCGGUAAUACGGAGGGUGCAAGCGUUACUCGGAAUCACUGGGCGUAAAGAGCGCGUAGGCGGGAUAGUCAGUCAGGUGUGAAAUCCUAUGGCUUAACCAUAGAACUGCAUUUGAAACUACUAUUCUAGAGUGUGGGAGAGGUAGGUGGAAUUCUUGGUGUAGGGGUAAAAUCCGUAGAGAUCAAGAGGAAUACUCAUUGCGAAGGCGACCUGCUGGAACAUUACUGACGCUGAUUGCGCGAAAGCGUGGGGAGCAAACAGGAUUAGAUACCCUGGUAGUCCACGCCCUAAACGAUGGAUGCUAGUUGUUGGAGGGCUUAGUCUCUCCAGUAAUGCAGCUAACGCAUUAAGCAUCCCGCCUGGGGAGUACGGUCGCAAGAUUAAAACUCAAAGGAAUAGACGGGGACCCGCACAAGCGGUGGAGCAUGUGGUUUAAUUCGAAGAUACACGAAGAACCUUACCUAGGCUUGACAUUGAGAGAAUCCGCUAGAAAUAGUGGAGUGUCUGGCUUGCUAGACCUUGAAAACAGGUGCUGCACGGCUGUCGUCAGCUCGUGUCGUGAGAUGUUGGGUUAAGUCCCGCAACGAGCGCAACCCCCUUUCUUAGUUGCUAAUAGGUCAUGCUGAGAACUCUAAGGAUACUGCCUCCGUAAGGAGGAGGAAGGUGGGGACGACGUCAAGUCAUCAUGGCCCUUACGCCUAGGGCUACACACGUGCUACAAUGGGGUGCACAAAGAGAAGCAAUACUGCGAAGUGGAGCCAAUCUUCAAAACGCCUCUCAGUUCGGAUUGUAGGCUGCAACUCGCCUGCAUGAAGCUGGAAUCGCUAGUAAUCGCAAAUCAGCCAUGUUGCGGUGAAUACGUUCCCGGGUCUUGUACUCACCGCCCGUCACACCAUGGGAGUUGUGUUUGCCUUAAGUCAGGAUGCUAAAUUAGCUACUGCCCACGGCACACACAGCGACUGGGGUGAAGUCGUAACAAGGUAACCGUAGGUGAACCUGCGGUUGGAUCACC
rnacentral:rRNA from 1 species